GACGAACGCUGGCGGCGUGCUUAACACAUGCAAGUCGAACGAUGAAGAAGAGAAACGCGAACUUCGGUUCAAAUUUCACUUCGGAUUAGUGGCAGACGGGUGAGUAACGCGUGAGCAACCUACCUCUUACAAAGGGAUAGCCUCGGGAAACCGUGAUUAAUACCAUAUGACACAUUCAUAAGGCAUCUUAAGAAUGUUAAAGCUACGGCGGUAAGAGAUGGGCUCGCGUCCCAUUAGCUAGUUGGUGAGGUAACGGCCCACCAAGGCGACGAUGGGUAACCGGCCUGAGAGAGUGAACGGUCACAUUGGAACUGAGACACGGUCCAAACUCCUACGGGAGGCAGCAGUGGGGAAUAUUGCACAAUGGAGGGAACUCUGAUGCAGCGACGCCGCGUGAGCGAUGAAGGAAUUCGUUUCGUAAAGCUCUGUUCUAUGGGAAGAAAAGGACUGUACCAUAGGAGAAAGCCCCGGCUAAAUACGUG
rnacentral:rRNA from 1 species